ACGUAGGGGGCAAGCGUUAUCCGGAUUUACUGGGUGUAAAGGGAGCGUAGACGGCAUGGCAAGUCUGAAGUGAAAGCCCGGGGCUCAACCCCGGGACUGCUUUGGAAACUGUCAGGCUAGAGUGCUGGAGAGGUAAGUGGAAUUCCUAGUGUAGCGGUGAAAUGCGUAGAUAUUAGGAGGAACACCAGUGGCGAAGGCGGCUUACUGGACAGUGACUGACGUUGAGGCUCGAAAGCGUGGGGAGCAAACAG
rnacentral:rRNA from 1 species